CCACUGACAUGGUCACAUAGCCAUUGUUCUUGAAGUACUGGGGGAUGGUAGAGAAGUUUCCAGCGUGUACCCUCCAGUAGGAGUUGAAGUCGUACAGGCAGGCAGUGUCUGGUCUCCUGCUGGUGAGAAAGGACAUGUGGCUUGGGAGCACACUGCUUGCUGUUAGGGAACAGAAGCAGAGGGGUGAGUGACAGCUGCUGCUUCCCAAAUGCCACAUUUCUUCAAAUAAAAAGCAGAAGAUAGCAUGCAGUA